GACGAACGCUGGCGGCGUGCUUAACACAUGCAAGUCGAACGGAAAGGCCCUUCGGGGUACUCGAGUGGCGAACGGGUGCGUAACACGUGGGUGAUCUGCCCUGCACUUUGGGAUAAGCCUGGGAAACUGGGUCUAAUACCGAAUAGGACCACGCGCUUCAUGGUGUGUGGUGGAAAGCUUUUGCGGUGUGGGAUGGGCCCGCGGCCUAUCAGCUUGUUGGUGGGGUAAUGGCCUACCAAGGCGACGACGGGUAGCCGGCCUGAGAGGGUGACCGGCCACACUGGGACUGAGAUACGGCCCAGACUCCUACGGGAGGCAGCAGUGGGGAAUAUUGCACAAUGGGCGCAAGCCUGAUGCAGCGACGCCGCGUGAGGGAUGACGGCCUUCGGGUUGUAAACCUCUUUCAAUAGGGACGAAGCGCAAGUGACGGUACCUAUAGAAGAAGCACCGGCCAACUACGUG
rnacentral:rRNA from 1 species